GGCCCACCUAGGUGAUAUGAGAAUAAAUAGAGGGUGCGGUGGGAGGGUCACUUCCGAGAUCGUUGAUGACAGGUAAGCAGGGGCUCACUGGGUUUAAGUAGGGUUCCAUGUACCUCCCACAAUUACAGGCCAAGCCUUCUAUUUGUGUAUGGCACAUUUCGAGGACGUAAGGAUCAAUAAUAAAGAAGCAAUAGUAGUAAG